GGCAACGCCUGCCCAGUGAAUAAUUAAACGGCCGCGGUACCCUAACCGUGCAAAGGUAGCGUAAUCAUUUGUCUAUUAAUUGUAGACCCGUAUGAAAGGCAUAAUGAGGGUUUAACUGUCUCUUUUAGUAAAUCAAUUAAACUGAUCCCUUAGUCAAAAAGCUAGGAUACCAACAUAAGACCAGAAGACCCUGUGAAACUUUAACUAAAAUAUUAAAACCUAUAAUAUCUACUUUAGGUUGGGGCGACCUUGGAAAAUAAAAGAACUUCCAUACACAUAUUAUAUAAUAAUAUACCGCCGGCCAACAAGCCUACAACGACCCAGCACAGCUGAUAAUUGAACCAAGCUACUCCAGGGAUAACAGCGCUAUCUUCUUCAAGAGCCCAUAUCAAAAAGAAGGUUUACGACCUCGAUGUUGGAUCAGGACAUCCUAAUGGUGCAACCGCUAUUAAGGGUUCGUUUGUUCAACGAUUAAUAGUCCUACGUGAUCUG
rnacentral:rRNA from 1 species